UUAGGGACGGGGCGGGGCGCCCAGCUGGCGUCACCAGGACAACGGGCGUUGCCGGCGCCUUGUGACUCCCGGCUGUGGGCGCGUUCGCGGCUCUUCGGCCAUGGUUUUCUCAAAUAAUGAUGAAGGCCUUAUUAACAAAAAGUUACCCAAAGAACUUCUUUUAAGAAUGCUGUUCAGCUUGUUGUUAAAUUUUACUUGGUCUAAUCCAGAAUGUACUAAGUAUGUACAUAACAUUGGUCUGGAUUCUUUUUGUAAUGUGGCCUGGAACAUCUUAGCCCUGGAUGGAAGCAACUGGCAAAGAAUAGACCUUUUUAACUUUCAAACGGAUGUAGAGGGUCGAGUGGUAGAAAACAUCUCAAAGCGGUGCGGUGGAUUCCUGCGGAAGCUCAGCUUGCGAGGCUGCAUUGGUGUUGGGGAUUCCUCCUUGAAGACCUUCGCACAGAACUGCCGAAACAUUGAACAUUUAAACCUCAAUGGGUGCACAAAAAUUACUGACAGCACGUGUUACAGCCUUAGCAGAUUUUGUUCCAAGCUGAAACAUCUGGAUCUGACCUCCUGUGUGUCAAUUACAAACAGCUCCUUAAAGGGGAUCAGUGAGGGCUGCCGAAACCUGGAGUACCUGAACCUCUCUUGGUGUGAUCAGAUCACGAAGGAUGGUAUCGAAGCGCUGGUGCGAGGUUGCCGAGGCCUCAAAGCCCUGCUCCUGAGGGGCUGCACACAGUUAGAAGACGAAGCUCUAAAACACAUUCAGAAUUACUGCCAGGAGCUCGUGAGCCUCAACUUGCAGUCCUGCUCGCGCAUUACGGACGGAGGCGUGGUGCAGAUCUGCAGGGGCUGCCACCGGCUGCAGGCCCUCUGCCUUUCUGGCUGCGGCAACCUCACAGACGCCUCUCUCACAGCCCUGGCUUUGAACUGCCCGAGACUUCAGAUUUUGGAGGCUGCCCGAUGUUCCCAUUUGACUGAUGCAGGCUUUACACUUUUAGCUCGGAAUUGCCAUGACCUGGAGAAGAUGGACCUUGAAGAAUGCGUCCUGAUAACCGACAGCACACUCGUCCAGCUCUCCAUUCACUGUCCUAAGCUGCAAGCCCUGAGUCUGUCCCACUGUGAGCUCAUCACAGAUGAUGGAAUUCUGCACCUGAGCAACAGCACCUGUGGCCACGAGAAGCUGCGGGUACUGGAAUUGGACAACUGCCUGCUCAUCACCGAUGUGGCCCUCGAACACCUGGAGAACUGCCGUGGCCUGGAGCGCCUGGAGCUGUAUGACUGUCAGCAGGUUACGCGCGCAGGCAUCAAGCGGAUGCGGGCUCAGCUCCCUCAUGUCAAAGUCCAUGCCUACUUCGCGCCUGUCACACCACCAACAGCAGUGGGAGGAAGUGGACAUCGGCUGUGUAGGUGUUGUGUCAUUCUCUGACAGCAGCUGCCCAGGCCCGAGGCAUGAAGAGGUGUCCCUUCCUCCAGAGAAGACCGAGUCUUCCUGAACUUCUCCACUGUCACCGCAAUCUGUUGAUUCUCCAUUGGGAAAGGCAUUUACAGGUUUCCAAGAGGAGCUCUAACCACCCCUAGAAAUAUCUCCAAAAAACCAAAUGCAGCCUAGGCAGCAAGACACACGCACCAGGAAGAUGUGAAAUCCCAGGCCAAUGAACUGCUGACGUUUUGCAUACUUUAGACUUGAGUUAAAAAUCAUUAAUAAUUUACCAAUAAUUCUUUCAUCUUCAGAUUAGCUCUGAGCUCCAACAGAGUUCUUUAAUUUAUGAAAUAUCAGAACCUCUUCCUUUUAAUCAGUUAAAUCGUUUUUAAUAAAAGGAGAAAAUGAUUUGAGCUACCAGGGUUUCACCAAAAAGUUUACUAAGAUCCACUUGUGAGUUUUCAGCUAGGAAACCAGAAGAGGAUAAAAACAAAAUCGGAGGGGCAGGCGUUUGGGGGAGGAGUCUACAGUUAUUCCAUACAACCUUCAAUUUGCAUAAAAAAAAGCCCAGUUAAAGAAAAUGUAACAUGUGGGCUCCCCAUCCAUUCAGAUGAGUACAUUUUCAGUUUUACUGCACAGAGAAGCAUUUAAAAUAUUUUCACUCAAUGCUUUAAUUUGGAAAUGAACUUCUUGUGAUAGUGCUGAUGACUUUCAUAGGCUACAGAUAGUUACAGACACAUGUUUAAGAGUGAAAAUUUCAUUUUUGGCACCUUCAUAGUACAAACACUGCAAUGAUGAAUAGAGCAGCUUUUAACACAUGAUGACAGAUAUAUAAAAAAUUACUUAAUGCUCUAUGUUUACAUUUACUGUGGGCAUACAGCUCUGAUCUGGCCUGUCAGAUGAAGAGUUGUGUCAUAAAGCAAAGAUUUGCUAUACUUAAGCUGACAAAGCUCAUAAUCAACCCCAAAUCCCGGGCCUGCAUGUAGCAAGGUGAACUGUUCUGGCCUGAAGCAUCAAGUCACAAUGCAGGUGCCAGGAGGAAACACUAAAUGCGGGCAAAGAUUUUUUUCCUACCCGUGCUGCCAAACAGGCUUUUAAAAGCACAGACAGACACACAUUCUUCUACUACAUGCAGGGAAAUGUGACACAAAGUAUUGCAUAUGUUAAUGUCAAGCUUGCUGCCAUCAUUUCUCUAAAUAUCCAUGACAUUUUCUUAUCAGUUAUACACAUGAGGAAGCAAAACCUUUUUUAAUGACAUAAAAAUUAUAACUAUUUUACUAAAGAAAGUAUUUUCAAUCAAUUUCCGUGCUCUUGAAGGAAGUGUGUGUGCAAAGGAGGGAGAGGGAAGGGAGGAAGGGAAGGAGAUGGGGAGGGAACACAUUUCUGAGUGUUGUUUUCCCUCUAAAACCACCCAAUAUGGUCAACUUUGUUUUAAAGUGUUAGAUUUAGGAAAUUUUCCUCAGUGAGGAACAAACAGAAAGCAGGAUGUCUAAACAAAAGCAAAUUAAAUCAAGACAAGGACAUCGAAAACAAAUUUGGCUUUACUUUUCGGUGGAAGGAGGUCCUAUAUCUAACACUGCACAAGGUUUCCUGCACAAUGAAAGGAGAAGCCGAAGC